rnacentral:rRNA from 1 species
GACGAACGCUGGCGGCGUGCUUAACACAUGCAAGUCGAACGAUGAACUUGGAGCUUGCUCUGGGGGAUUAGUGGCGAACGGGUGAGUAACACGUGAGUAACCUGCCCUGGACUCUGGGAUAACUUCGAGAAAUCGGAGCUAAUACCGGAUAGGACCUUGCACCGCAUGGUGUGGGGUGGAAAGUUUUUCGGUUUGGGAUGGACUCGCGGCCUAUCAGCUUGUUGGUGAGGUAAUGGCUCACCAAGGCGUCGACGGGUAGCCGGCCUGAGGGGGUGACCGGCCACACUGGGACUGAGACACGGCCCAGACUCCUACGGGAGGCAGCAGUGGGGAAUAUUGCACAAUGGGCGCAAGCCUGAUGCAGCAACGCCGCGUGCGGGAUGACGGCCUUCGGGUUGUAAACCGCUUUUAGUAGGGAAGAAGCCUUCGGGUGACGGUACCUGCAGAAGAAGCCCCGGCUAACUUCGUGCCAGCCGCCGCCGUAAGAC